UACGGAGGGAGCUAGCGUUGUUCGGAAUUACUGGGCGUAAAGCGCGCGUAGGCGGCUUUGUAAGUUAGAGGUGAAAGCCCGGAGCUCAACUCCGGAACUGCCUUUAAGACUGCAUCGCUUGAAUCCAGGAGAGGUGAGUGGAAUUCCGAGUGUAGAGGUGAAAUUCGUAGAUAUUCGGAAGAACACCAGUGGCGAAGGCGGCUCACUGGACUGGUAUUGACGCUGGAGG
rnacentral:rRNA from 1 species